UCGGUGGAAAUGUGCAGCAGCUGUAUGGGAAAAUGAUUCCAGAGAGGAGCAGAGAGACAAACAAAAAAGAAUAAUGAACAACAGAAAGAGGAAAUAUGUUGAAACAUCUCCCUCAGUAACUGGCAAAACAAGCAGAUCAUAAAACUCAGUAAGAAAAGAGAAGAUUGAACAACACAGGUAAAAAAAAAAAUGACCCAAUAGGCUAAUACAGAAUAUGUCACCC
rnacentral:lncRNA from 10 species